UACGGAGGAUGCGAGCGUUAUCCGGAUUUAUUGGGUUUAAAGGGUGCGUAGGCGGGCUGUUAAGUCAGCGGUAAAAUUUGGAGGCUCAACCUCCACGAGCCGUUGAAACUGGCGGUCUUGAGUGGGCGAGAAGUAUGCGGAAUGCGUGGUGUAGCGGUGAAAUGCAUAGAUAUCACGCAGAACCCCGAUUGCGAAGGCAGCAUACCGGCGUCCUACUGACGCUGAAGCACGAAAGCGUGGGUAUCGAACAG
rnacentral:rRNA from 1 species